rfam:Gossypium raimondii Chr02_contig_1130, whole genome shotgun sequence.
AUUCCAUAAUGAGGGCACUUUCGUAAUAACUCUUUGUAGCUUUCCCAUGUCUCAUACAUGGACUCAUCAUCCAUUUGUUGGAAAUAAGUGAUCUCAUUCCUCCACU